GGACGGGUAGUAAGCCUAAAUUGCCUGGUAGUGGGGGAUAACGCUGGAAACGGACGCUAAUACCGCAUACGUCUACGGGAGAAAGCAGGGGACUUCGGGCCUUGCGCUAUCAGAUGAGCCUAGGUCGGAUUAGCUAGUUGGUGAGGUAAUGGCUCACCAAGGCGACGAUCCGUAACUGGUCUGAGAGGAUGAUCAGUCACACUGGAACUGAGACACGGUCCAGAUCUCGGAGGCAGCAGUGGGGUUGACAAUGGGCGAAAGCCUGAUCCAGCCAUGCCGCGUGUGUGAAGAAGGUCUUCGGAUUGUAAAGCACUUUAAGUUGGAGGAAGGGCAGUUACCUAAUACGUAAUUGUUUUGACGUUACCGACAGAAUAAGCACCGGCUAACUCUGUGCCAGCAGCCCGGUAAUACAGAGGGUGCAAGCGUUAAUCGGAAUUACUGGGCGUAAAGCGCGCGUAGGUGGUUCGUUAAGUUGGAUGUGAAAGCCCCGGGCUCAACCUGGGAUCAGUCGAGCUAGAGUAUGGUAGAGGGUGGUGGU
rnacentral:rRNA from 1 species